rnacentral:lncRNA from 1 species
AGGGUUGAAGAAAAAGCUCAGCACAAAAUUUCAUCGCUUGCUUCAUAAAGGAGUAUGAGAGCCUUGAAGCUCUCCAAGUGGUCUACUGAGUCGUUCGACCUAUCAUAGGUUUUCAGUGGGGGCAUCUUAAAGUUGGCAGGUAGUGGCUCCUGCAUGAUCUGGUCAAUGUGGAAGCCAGCUUGAUCUCUCUAAUUUAUAGCUUGGUGCUGUAG